GACAGAGGGUGCAAACGUUGCUCGGAAUUACUGGGCGUAAAGCGCACGUAGGCGGCUUUCUAAGUCGGGGGUGAAAUCCUGGAGCUCAACUCCAGAACUGCCUUCGAUACUGGAAAGCUCGAGUCCGGGAGAGGUGAGUGGAACUGCGAGUGUAGAGGUGAAAUUCGUAGAUAUUCGCAAGAACACCAGUGGCGAAGGCGGCUCACUGGCCCGGUACUGACGCUGAGGUGCGAAAGCGUGGGGAGCAAACAGG
rnacentral:rRNA from 1 species